AAAACACGUGCAUAGUCCCGUUGGAUCCAAGUUCUAAAAGUGCCUGGGACAGACUCGGGCCGACCUAAAAAAAUUUCGAGCCUGGUUUUCUUUGAUCAAGCGUGGCCCUAAAGGAGGCGUGGGCCGGCUAGAGGCCAGUGGCCCGAGCCGAGCCUAAAAUGAUCGGGUCUAGCAGUACCCAUAUCAUUUUUUGGAUAAUACGAUAACACUGAACUAUCAGAGGGGUAAUGAGGUAUGAUUAUCUAUGGUACCUGUAGUCGAGUUAUU
rnacentral:lncRNA from 1 species